GUGCAGCAGGCGAGAAUUUUUCUCAAUGGGGGAAACCCUGAAGGAGCGACGCCGCGUGGAGGAUGAAGGUCUUCGGAUUGUAAACUCCUGUCAUUUGGGAACAAGUUGCAUCGGUUAGCUGCCGAUGCAUUGAUAGUACCAGAAGAGGAAGAGACGGCUAACUCUGUGCCAGCAGCCGCGGUAAUACAGAGGUCUCAAGCGUUGUUCGGAUUCAUUGGGCGUAAAGGGUGCGUAGGUGGCGGGGUAAGUCUGGUGUGAAAUCUCGGGGCUCAACCCCGAAACUGCACUGGAUACUGCCUUGCUCGAGUACUGGAGAGGAGAUUGGAAUUUACGGUGUAGCAGUGAAAUGCGUAGAUAUCGUAAGGAAGACCAGUGGCGAAGGCGAGUCUCUGGACAGUUACUGACACUGAGGCACGAAGGCCAGGGGAGCAAACGGGAUUAGAUACCCCGGUAGU
rnacentral:rRNA from 1 species